AUGAAACGUACAUCAUGUCUUAAUCAUAUUGUUUCAAUACCCAUUCAGCCUACCGUUGAAGUGAAAGAUUCCGUUCCUACUAAAACAGUAGAAGUGAAGGAAAAACAAACAUCCAAAUCAGCUUUGUCCAGUUGGAAGUCUUCAGUGUGUUUGGCUCACAGUACUGUGUCUUGUCAAAGAUCCAGGGCUUUGAGAGUUGAUGAAUGCCCAUCUGUAUCACACUCGGUGACCCAAAAUCAGUCAGCAUCCAGAGGAUUUGGACAGACGACCUUCAUAGAGAAAGAAAAGAUUAAUGAUAUUGGAGUUGUGUUUCUGUUAGAGAAUUAUAAACUCCAUGACCUGUAUAAAUCACAGCUACAAGAAAGCAGAGAGCACAAACAAGGUAAUAAAGAAGCAUAGAGAAUUCAGCCUCUCCAUGACUUCACCAUAGUUCUGAUUUUUCAAAAAUAAUUUUGUGGCAAAAUUUACUUUGUGUUUACUCCUUUUAUGCAACCUACAACCAAACAGAAUAUCUUUUAGCAAGACAUUUGUAUUCUUCCUCUAACCAAAGCAACACCUGAAUAAGAAUUAGGAGAAUGUAAUUUCUUUGGGUUAGUUUUUAGCAUUCAUUUGAGAGUCGGUAGCAGGAUUAUAUUUAGAACUUUGGGACCAGUUGGGAAUACUAGGUAGAGAUCUAAAGAUUGUUUACUCAAAACAUAGUUUCCUAGCUUUAUUUUAUAGCUCUAAAUUCACAAGUAUUGGUCAAGCUAUAUUCAUUGUAACUAAAAAAAGCACCUUCCCAAAUCAAGUAUUAAAAUAUUUCCUAUGUUCUCUAUGACUUUUUUUUAUAGAGUUGGCUUUCCCAGCAGUAAUGGGAAUAGUUGAGAAUUUACUAUAUAGUAUCAUCUUCUCAGCUAUGUAUGCAUAGUCCAUCUCCUUGUUUUAUUAUUUUUAUUUUAUCUUUUUAGAGAGAGAGAGAGAGAGGGAUAGGGAGAGAGAGAAUCCCAAGCAGGCUUCACGCUCAGCACAGGGCCUGAUGGGGGGGCCUCCAUCUCAUGACCCUGAGAACAUGACCUGAGCCUAAAUCAAAAGUUGGACACUUAACUCACUGAGCCACCCAGAUGCCCCUUUAUUAUUAUUAUUGUUAUUUAAAAUUUUUAUUUGAGAGAGAGAGAAAUUGAGAGAACGAGUGGGAGGAGUGGCAGAGGGAGAAAGAAGCAGGCUCUCCUCUGAGCAGGGAGCCCGAUGCGGGGCUCGAUCCCAGGACCCUGCGAUCAUGACCUGAGCUGAAGGCAGCCGUUUAACUGACUGAGGCACCCAGGCACCUCCCUUUAUUAUUUUUAAUGAAUAAAUGGAGUACUGGUUUUAAGGAGCACUAUAUUAUUUAAAAAUAAUACAUGGAAAGUCAAUUUUCAUUCUACUAAGAUACUCAGUCUAUUGAUUAACUACAUCUCAUGUGUGCUCUACUUAAUGUACCAGUUAAUUCCAUGCCUUUUAUCAGUCAUGAUCAGGUCUGUACUAAUAAAUCGUACAAUAUUUUUUUCACCCCUGUAGUUUUAGGUUCUUUCUUUACUGGUAGAAUUAACACUGUGUUUUCAAAAGAUUUUCAAUGAUCUCCUAGAGUAGUGAGUACAGGCAAUAAAUCCAAAGUUAUUUACCUCUGCAAGUGACUUGUGUGCUGUUACUUCUUCCUGAGCUUGGUAGAUCCAAGAAGGAGGACUUUUAAAAUACCUACAGGCUCCUGUAACAAAGGAAGAUCUGAAACAAAAAUUAGAAAUACAAGCAACUUAAAACAGUUCAGGUAGAUUGUUUCUCUUCUCACUUGAUGCUUUUAUAAAGUGGUGAGCAAAGUUAGUUCUCUAGGGACCCACGAUUGUGUGCUUAUUCAUUUAAUACAGAUUUAUUCUGUACUGUGCCCUGAUGAUUUUAUAUCCUCAAUAUUUCUGGACCCAUUCUGUCAGUUCAGGUGUACUUCAUCUUUAUUUUGCAGUACUGCCUUCUAAUUCAUCUCCCAUCUUUUAUGACAGUGCCCCUGAAAUUCAUCCCUCUCCACAGCAUUUAGAGUGAUCUGUCUCAAAUGUAAAUAUGACUAGGAACCAUGUUGAAAAUAUAUUUGUGGGCGCCUGGGUGGCUCAGUUGGUUAAGCGACUGCCUUCGGCUCAGGUCAUGAUCCUGGAGUCCUGGGAUCGAGUCCCACAUCGGGCUCCCUGCUCAGCAGGGAGUCUGCUUCUCCCUCUGAACCUCCCCCCUCUCAUGCUCUCUCUCUCAUUCUGUCUCUCAAAUAAAUAAAUAAAAUCUUUAAAAAAAAAAAGAAAAUAUAUUUGUGUCCAGGUAUCUUAAACUUUCAUAAUCUUGACUUCUGCCAAACUCUCUAGCCCUUUCUGCUGUCUGCCCUUUUCUCUGGCAUUCUGAACUGCUGGUGAUGUCUUCCUCUUAGAUCCCUGUAUUACCCUGUUGUGUGCUUCUCUCCCUUUUAGACAAAUAUUUACCCUGUCGUGUGCUUCUCUCCCUUGUCUUCCUACAGCCUUGCAUACUCUCCCUGUUUUCCUCCCUCUAACCCCUUUGAAUCUGGCUGACCUCACUGUUUUCAGUUUCGGUUCAGGCAUUAUGUCCAGAAAAACCAUUCCUGACACCUUUUAUCUACGUGCUUCUUGAAACCUGGGUGCCUAGCACUUACUGGGAACUCAGUAAAUAAUUACUGAGUAAAAUAAAGACCGUUUACAUAGAGAUGACUUAAAAGAUUGCCCCAUACAGGGGCACCUGUGUGGCUCAGUCGGUUGAGCAUCCAACUCUUGAUUUCGGCUCAGGUCAUGAGCUCAGAGUUGUGAGAUCGAGCCCCGUGUGUGGCUCAGUGCUGGGCUUGGAGCCCGGUCAAGAUUCUCUCUCUCUCUCUCUCUCUCUCUCUCUCUCUCUCUCUGCUCCUCCCCCUCUCUAAAAAAAGAGAGAGUGAGAGAGAUUGUCCCAUACAGUCCAGGAGCCAAAGAAAUAGAUAUAGAAAGAAGUAAUUUACAGUUCAGGUGGUGAAGAUACACUAGAAAAAUCUGUAAAGUACUAAGGUACCCCUGAAGAAAGACACCUAUUUAUCUGGGGAAGACUAGCCAUAAUCAAGGAUGACUUUACAUAGCAGUCUGUGUCCUAAAAGAUGUGAAGAAAUUUAUCAAGUAGGAGAGGAAAGCAUUUCAGGAAUGUUUACACUCAGCAGGGACAUACACCCAUAGGAAGGUUGUACACUAAUAAAGGCAUAAAAAAUACUAAUAAUUUUGGAAAUCAUGAAUAAUGUUGUAGUUGAAGCUUUGGGUGUUAAGAGGUGCUGUUACAAGGUAAAGAAUAGUCUGUUGUGAUUUUACAUGUUUCUGCUACAUUUUAAAAUUUUGUUUCUGAGUGUUUUGUUCAUUGAUGUUAGGAGAAUGAACUUGUGAAUGAAUCUUUGAGACGUUUGUAUGUCUUUAACCUGAUGACAUUUAGUAUUUCCCAAAUGGUUUGUUGAAGUUUUCGAUAAUUAAAAGUAUUUCUUAAAGUAAAUAUUCAGCUAAACAUUAAGUUUAAUUUAAACCAUUAAUAGAUGAAAUGUUAUUUUCUAUUUUUAAGAAGGUUGUAGCUUUUAUCUAACCAUUCUAAGUAGUCCAUUUUAACUAAAUAUAUAGAUUUGCCAGCAGAACUAGACUUAGAAAGGACAUCAGAGGAAGAGCAAAAAAGACUUGAUGAAAGUGAAAAUGACCACCUACAGGUAUGUAAAAAGUUAAAUUUAAAUGUAAAUUUCCACUUUUAUAUUGUUUUUCCUGCUUUAAUAACGUAACAUAGUUCAAAUGAAAUUAUCUUUUGAAUGGACAUAUUGAAGUCAAUAGAUUAUAACUUAAUAUUUAGUUUUUAUAAAAUUUUAUAAGUUACAAAACUUAAAGUAUUGUUAGAAUUUUACUAGCUAAACUUCAUCCUUGGAAUUGAGAGAAAAAAAAAAUUCCUGAAUAGUGUUUGCUUCUUCCAUUUUUGUAACUUUUUAUGUAAUAAAGAAGGUAGCAUCAGAUACCGAAUUAUGUUUAAGCAGUUGAAAUUAUGAGCAGUGUAAUAAUGAUGACUACUGACUUAGAUCCACGUAGAAGGAGUAAUUAUUCUCAGUGGUUCAAAAUGUGCAGUUCUGUAUUGCCCAUCACUAAUGCCAAGAUUAAAGAUUUAUUUUGCCUUGUGAUCUCUGUGUAGUUGACUUCAGAGAGUGGGGUCAUAAAAUCAGCACAAUUGCCAAUUGCCUAGAAUCCCACCUUCCAGGAUGGGACCUUUGUAGUUGGGUAAUAAACCAUAACUCUUUCAGUUAUUUCAUUUCGGCGUAGGAAAUCAGUAUUAUUAACAUUUUUCUUAUCCACUCUCAGUGGACGUUAUAUUAGAGCUGAAUAUAAGCAGAUAAUUUUAGUGAUGUAAAACACUAUCAUAGUAUAUAAUUUGAAUUAAGAUUUAGGAAUUUUCUUUCUGAUUGAUGUUAAUUGAUUUUGGCUCCAAAUUAAAAUUUGCCUCUUCUCUAGAUAUUAAUCUUUAAAGAGAAUCCUCAGAUGCACUGUAGGGGCUCUCUAUUUAAUGUAUGGUGAAAUAAAAUGAAAUAAAAUGUUUUUAAGUUUGUAACAUUAAAAAUAAUCUAAUUCAUUUUUUGGUAGAUGUAACAUGUAAUGAAUUGUUUAUUUCCAAAUAACUGACAAAGUAAGUUGAUGGAUUUAUGUUUUUCUUCUGUCUUAACCUAGGGCAAGUUAUUUUUCACUUCUUUGUUACAAUCCAGUGACUUGGGAGCAGCUUAACAUAGAUUAAGAAAUCUAACAGUUAAAUUUUAAUUAUUUUCUAAUUUUUCUUUGUCCAUACUUGAUUACUUAAGGAUAAAGUUAUUUUACAAACAUGCAUCCUGGCAGAAAAGAUAUCUGAAAAUCAAACCAAGCAAAUUAAUGUUCCACUUUUGCAUCUGCAAA
rnacentral:lncRNA from 1 species